rnacentral:rRNA from 1 species
AAUCAACGCUGGCGGCGUGCCUCAGACAUGCAAGUCGAACGCGAAAAGGCCCCUUCGGGGGCCGAGUAGAGUGGCGUCCGGGUGAGUAACACGUGGGUAAUCUACCUUCGGGUGGGGAAUAACGACCGGAAACGGUCGCUAAUACCGCAUAAUGCAGCGGCACCUAAUGGUGACAGUUGUUAAAGCGGGGGAUCGCAAGACCUCGCGCCUGAAGAGGAGCCCGCGGCGGAUUAGCUAGNGGCAGGGUAACGGCCUACCAAGGCGACGAUCCGUAGCCGGCCUGAGAGGGCGGUCGGCCACACUGGCACUGACACACGGGCCAGACUCCUACGGGAGGCAGCAGUCGGGAAUUUUGGGCAAUGGGCGAAAGCCUGACCCAGCAACGCCGCGUGAA